rnacentral:rRNA from 1 species
GACGAACGCUGGCGGCGUGCUUAAUACAUGCAAGUCAACUGAACUUGAGGUAGCAAUAUUUCAAGGGAGGUGGCGCACGGGUGAGUAACACGUAGGUAAUCUGCCUUUAGGUCUGACACAACCCCGAGAAAUCGGGGCUAAUAUCAGAUGAUGCAGCGGCUCGACAUCGAGACAGUUGUUAAACCUUGGGCCUAAAGAUGAGCCUGCGUCUGAUUAGGUAGNGGCGGAGUAAAAGCCACCAAGCCUGCGAUCAGUAGCUGGUCUGAGAGGAUGAUCAGCCACACUGG